UCCGUUGUAGUCUAGUUGGUCAGGAUAUUCGGCUCUCACCCGAAAGACCCGGGUUCAAGUCCCGGCGACGGAACCA
rnacentral:tRNA from 1 species